AACGAACGCUGGCGGCAUGCCUAACACAUGCAAGUCGAACGAGACCUUCGGGUCUAGUGGCGCACGGGUGCGUAACGCGUGGGAACCUGCCCUUAGGUUCGGAAUAACUCUCCGACAGGGGUGCUAAUACCGGAUAAUGUCUUCGGACCAAAGAUUUAUCGCCUUUGGAUGGGCCCGCGUUGGAUUAGCUAGUUGGUAGGGUAAAAGCCUACCAAGGCGACGAUGCAUAGCUGGUCUGAGAGGAUGAUCAGCAACACUGGGACUGAGACACGGCCCAGACUCCUACGGGAGGCAGCAGUGGGGAAUAUUGGACAAUGGGCGAAAGCCUGAUCCAGCAAUGCCGCGUGAGUGAUGAAGGCCUUAGGGUUGUAAAGCUCUUUUACCCGGGAUGAUAAUGACAGUACCGGGAGAAUAAGCUCCGGCUAACUCCGUG
rnacentral:rRNA from 1 species